UUGCAGUGAUGUUUUGAAUUUCUUCACCUGAAACUUUUGUGUAGAACAAAUCUUUCAUAUCCUGAGCAAG